rnacentral:rRNA from 1 species
AUUGAACGCUGGCGGCAUGCCUUACACAUGCAAGUCGAACGGUAACGCGGGGCAACCUGGCGACGAGUGGCGAACGGGUGAGUAAUGUAUCGGAACGUGCCCAGUUGUGGGGGAUAACUGCUCGAAAGAGCAGCUAAUACCGCAUACGACCUGAGGGUGAAAGCGGGGGAUCGCAAGACCUCGCGCAAUUGGAGCGGCCGAUAUCAGAUUAGGUAGUUGGGGGGGUAAAGGCUCACCAAGCCGACUAUCUGUAGCUGGUCUAAGAGGACGACCAGCCACACUGGGACUGAGACACGGCCCAGACGCCGACGGGAGGCAGCAGUGGGGAAUUUUGGACCAUGGGCGCAAGCCUGAACCAGCAAUGCCGCGUGCAGGAUGAAGGCCUUCAGGUUGUAAACUGCUUUUGAACGGAGCGAAACGGCUUCCACUAAUACUGGGGGCUAAUGACGGUACCGAAAGAAUAAGCACCGGCUAACUACGUGCCAGCCGCCGCCGUAACAC